UAGUAUUGAAUUAGAAGCGCGAACCAACCGAAAGUGGUUAAACCUAAAAACGUGAUACGGCCGGCCUGAGUUGUUCUGCAUCUGAUAUCGCAUCCGGCGUCGCCAUCCAGCCACACCGCUCCUGCUCCUUGCGUUGUUGUCGAACUUUCAGGUGUCAGAUUAGGAUUCGGAGUUGUACAGUGUUGAAUUUGUGAAAUUACUGGUUUUGCUCUUCAAUUGUUGUAUACCAAUGGAGCCUGCAAAAUUUGACCCAAGACACUCGGGAGAGCUGUUGAAGCAUAUGGAUAAGCAGAAUGAGGUCCUUAUGGAAGCAUACAGAUCAAUGUUGCAUCAAUUGCAAAAACUUCAGGUGGAAGAAGAGAUGCUUAUGCGCAAGCUUUACGAAGUUGUCCGUCCACGGUCUCAAUAAACAAGUUAAACGCUGUCGACUUUAUCUCAGAUUCUCAGUUGCCAACCUAUGUAUAUGAUAUUCCUGAAAUAUGUCCACAAACGUUUUGUGCAGUUUAAGUUUUGUGCAGAAUGAAGACAACUCCAACGCUUCCCAUGAUAGUGUUUGGAGCUGAACUGUUCAAUGAUAAAGUCAAUACAAGAAAAAAAGAUCAAGAUGGGUUAAUUUUCUCAUAGAUUUGGUUUAUGAGCAAAGUGUGUCAUAUGCUUAUAUUUAAUCUGUGAAGCAUGGGUACUCCAUUUUAGGUAAAGUACCGGUACCGGGUACCGGUACGCGUACGGUACUCACCCGGUACGCACCGAAGCCGUACCAAUUUUUUUAAUUUUAUUUUUAACUUGGUACACCAACCGGUACACAUUUGGUACCACGUACCCAACUUUUUAAGUUUUUGUUCAUACGAAUCUCCAUCUUCUCUCAGAGAAAGAGUAAGGUUUAUAAUGAAUGAGCAACAAAAAUGUGGGAUAUUAGUGGAGACGAAUGAGAUCUAUUUGAUGAAAUUGGUAUUCUUGAAA